UGGGGGAUCGUCUAGCGGCAGGACGGCGGACUCUGGAUCCGCUAGCCUAGGUUCGAAUCCUAGUCCCCCAGCCA
rnacentral:tRNA from 1 species